rnacentral:rRNA from 1 species
CUUCGGGAAACCGGGAAGCUAAUACCGGAUAAUAUUUCGAACCGCAUGGUUCGAUAGUGAAAGAUGGUUUUGCUAUCACUUAUAGAUGGACCCGCGCCGUAUUAGCUAGUUGGUAAGGUAACGGCUUACCAAGGCGACGAUACGUAGCCGACCUGAGAGGGUGAUCGGCCACACUGGAACUGAGACACGGUCAAGACUCCUACGGGAGGCAGCAGAU